UACGGAGGGUGCAAGCGUUAUCCGGAUUCACUGGGCUUAAAGGGUGCGUAGGAGGGCAGGUAAGUCAGUGGUGAAAUCCCCAAGCUUAACUUGGGAACUGCCGUUGAUACUAUCUGUCUUGAAUACCGUGGAGGUGAGCGGAAUAUGUCAUGUAGCGGUGAAAUGCUUAGAUAUGACAUAGAACACCAAUUGCGAAGGCAGUUCGCUACACGAAUAUUGACUCUGAGGCACGAAAGCGUGGGGAUCAAACAGG
rnacentral:rRNA from 1 species